AACUGAGUGCAGAAGGAAAGCCAGCCUGUUCUCUCCCUGAGAUCCCCCUCGGGAGUUAGAGAAGAACAGCUACAGAACUAUUCUCUGCCAGGCUCCAAGAGACACCAGCUCUGCAGGUCAGCAGCUUCUCCCGUACCUGGACAACACGUCAGGCCUGACUGGGAGAAGCAGAGAUUCCACUUUGCAACUUGCAGGGCUGGGAAUCUGUGAGUGUCAGGGAGGCUAGGGAGGACACAAACAGCGGGACACAGACACACAAAUAUCCAUUCCUGAGAUCUCCUUGUCUUCCCCUCAAUUUCUGCCACUGUGUGCAUUCCUGCACACUCAGGCUGCCCCACAGCCCCAUCCUGCUCCGUGGUAGCUCUGAACUCUGGCACCUACUGCAGUCCCCCCUACUCUUGCCCAGCCACGCUCGCACACAGCAGGAAGCCAGAGGAGCAGAGCACAAGCAGCUCAUGACUGCCUGCAGGUGUCAUUGCCCACCGUUCCUGGGCAGCCAAGAGCCUUGGUGACAUUUCAGACUGCCGCUGCCUCCCCUGCCCACCCACACAGAGACGCAUCUCUUGCUCUGCACCUCUCCUCUUUGCACACCUCUGUGUCUGUGCUGGCACCAGGGGCAGGUGCCUGGAAGGAGGGGGCCUUUCUCCAUGGAUUUCCACCGGUUCCUUGUGGCCAUGCUGCUCCCUGUGGGCUGGGCCCUUCAGCAAUCACCAGAUACAGUUGUCCGGGUGGGAGACACCAUCACUCUGGAAUGUUCUGCAUCAGGGAAAACUUUUGUGAACAUGUACUGGUACAAGUUACCCAUGGAGAAGGAUGCCAGAAUGCAGCUGGUUGUGUACUCAGUGGAAGGUGGCAAAGCAGAUAUUGAGAAGGAAUUCCAACAUCGCUUCCAGAGUAACGGGACCAGGAACAACCAUUUAGCUGUGCAGAUACAGCAUGCCCUACUCAAUGACACAGGCACAUAUUUCUGUGCUGAACAAGAUCCACAGUGAGUCAAAGGCUGGUGCAGCACAGCACAAACCUUUCCAGGCAGACAGGGAUCUGCCACCAGCACACAUUGAGCCCUGUUUGAGUAAACUCCUUUUUUACUUGCCCCCCAGCUCUUCAGAAAAACACUAUAUAACUGUCUGUCUGUCUUUCUGUCCAUCUAUCUGAUCAUCAAUCUGUCUUUACCUUGGUCUCUAGCUACUUUUCUAUUCUUUCCCAUCUCUGAAUCACUUUCUCACUCUCAAUUCUUUCUGUCCUCACUGUCUGACCUCCAUUAUAUCCCAUUCAGAUUGUUUCUGACUUUGCUCUUUUCACGUCAUUCUGUCUGUCCCCCUGAAUUUUCUUCUCUGUCCUCUCAUACCUAAUCCCCUCCUAUUUCCUCUUCCCUUCCUCCUCCUUCUCUCCUUCCCUCCAAUCUGUUACAUCAAUUCUUGGCCAGGAAAGCAGGAUGUGGAAGAGUUCACACAGCACGUUCCCUCUCCACCAGCUGGAAAGGCAAAGCCCACCGGUCCUUGUCCCCACUGGCCUGCAGGGAAUCGACACACAGCCCAUGUUACACCCAUGCCCUGUGACCUGAACAAUCUGAUGUCUGAGAAUUGUCCCUGCCCACAGCAGGAGGCUGCCCAGGUGAGCCAUGGAAUGUCCCUGGUGACCAGGACAAGGACCAGGAGGAAGAAGCCCAAGAGGAGUUUUCAGCAGGGCUUGUUGGUGUCUCUGAGCAUCUUGUCUGGUCCAUCCACUCCAUCUCCUGCUGCUUGCUUAAAGUCACGAG
rnacentral:lncRNA from 1 species